rnacentral:misc_RNA from 1 species
AGAAGGACCACUUUCGUUGGACAAAUUGUUUACGUAGAGAUUUUACAAUAAACGGGUUGAUGUUUGACCCUUAUUCAAAACUCGUCUAUGAUUACAUGGGAGGAGUGGAUGAUAUCAGGAAAGCUAAAAUACAAACAAUCGGUCCUGCUAGUUUCUCAUUUGUAGAGGAUUGUGCUCGAAUUCUUCGUGCAAUUAGAAUUGCU